rnacentral:miRNA from 1 species
AUUUGCUCAUAGAUGAUAUGCGUAGUACUCCCAGAACUCAUUAAGUUGGUAGUACUGUGAGCGAAUAG